UUAACUAAAAUUUGUAUGGAAUUGGAACGCUUGCCUACGUUUGGCGCUAGGGGCGCUGUUCCAACUGCAUACAAAUUUAACUUU
rnacentral:pre_miRNA from 1 species